AUUUCCUCUGCCUCCUUUGCCAUAUUCUUCAUUAAGAAUCAUCAAUUCAUUCUUCUGUAUCUGUGGGUCAUAAAUACCCUUUCUUGGUGCAUCAAGAUACUAAUUCCAGCUUGCAUUGAGUGAAAUCUUCAGUAUGUUUCCAUGGUUUUUGGUUCUUACUCACUGGGUAUCAUCUUCUGAUACUUGAUUCCUUCUUCUUCUGUAGCUAGGAUGGAGAUAAUGGAUGCUCGAACUCAUUGAUAGCUGAAGAGGACCAAGAAUCUCAGCUGGUUGAAUUUGAUUUGACUUGUUGACCCCGCACUUACUGAAAUUCCUUUUUGUUAGCUGGUGUAAAUAGGCAGACUAGCAUUUUCACCUUUUUGUUGAACUUUCCUUCUUAUAAAUAUGGUGAAUAUGUAAUAAACUGUUGUAGCCUUUCCAAUCCUAUUAGCCUUUUGCUAUGCUUAGUCUCAAAUAGGGACAUUAGUACUUGUCACUAUUUAG